rnacentral:lncRNA from 1 species
GAAGAAGGUCUUCUCCUUCUACCUUUAAGAGCAGAGACCACCCUAACCUGGAUUUUACUGUGGCUAGAGGGGAGAAGAUUCAGCCUUAGAGUGCUAAUUUUAAAGAAGAGGACUGAGAGGUGGAAAAAGAAAUAUUGCUUCAGCUCUAAGAGCAAGUAUCUAAUAACAACUCAUGUCUUUGGAAGGAAUACUAACAUGAAGAGAGCUGUUCUACAAUUUGUUCUGUGUCAGAAAACAAAGAAAAAAUGUUUUAAACUGAAGUGAAGCAUCCAGCUGUUACCUUUUUUGGUUGAUUUGUUUGUUUGUUUGGUAGUUUUGCUGCUUAUUGGAUUUCAAAUAAGACUGCCAAAUUGUUAGAGUCAUAGUCAUAAAGUCACAGUCAUUGUAGCCUGCUGUAUUUCUUCAACUCUGAUUUUAGCUUGUCUGAAUUUGUUGUCUACAUUCCCAAAAUGUAAGGGUGAGGGUGAAGAAUGUGGUCCCUGUGCACAGACUUUCCAUUGCCUGGCCCAACAGAAAUAUAACAUGUCAGUUGCACUUGUGUUUUAAAUGAGUGUAUAUGUUCACUUAGAUGAAAGGAAAGUUUGAUAUUAAACAAAUGUCAGCUUGUGUAAGUGGAAAGGUUUGUUUUGUUUUAUUGAGAUUUUUUUGUCUGAAAUCUUUUAUCAAACAUUUAUCAUCAAAGAUGUGCAGGUAAUAUUUGCAGCUCUUCAAAGUAGAAUGGAAUAAUCAAGCACUUAUGCUGUACCCUGUGAAUCAUUUCUGGGGACUUUUUAUCUAGAAAAAUGUGUUAAAGUUUUGUGUUGUUCCCCCCUACCCUACCAACAGGAGAAUAGUUGUUCAGACUAUCCAAAGGAAGAGAAUUUCCUAAUCUUUAACUAGUAGUGCUCUCAAACAGCAAAGCAGAGAAGCUCAGUAAUAAUUGGAAACCAAUCCAUGGCUCUUCAAGUGUAUUUGUUUCCAUUAUGACUUGUGUUUCUGAAUUCUGGUCCUUAAUGCAUUAAGCUGCAAUAUUUUGUGUGACUGUAGAAUACAUCAAGGGCCAUUUUUUUUUUUUUUUCAUGCAGAAUAAAGCUCAGUAUUUCUCAAAUAAACCA